UACGUAGGGGGCGAGCGUUGUCCGGAUUUAUUGGGCGUAAAGAGCUCGUAGGCGGUUUGGUAAGUCGGUGUGAAAUCUCCACGCUCAACGUGGAGGGGCCACUCGAUACUGCCAUGACUCGAGUCCGGUAGAGGAGGUGUGGAAUUCCCGGUGUAGCGGUGAAAUGCGCAGAUAGUCGGGAGGAACACCCGUAGCGAAGGC
rnacentral:rRNA from 1 species